GUGAGGAAUAUUGGUCAAUGGGCGCAAGCCUGAACCAGCCAUCCCGCGUGAAGGAUGAAUGUACUAUGUAUUGUAAACUUCUUUUCUGCACCAAGAACGUGCCCUACGUGUAGGGUAUUGACGGUAGUGCAGGAAUAAGCAUCGGCUAACUCCGUGCCAGCAGCCGCGGUAAUACGGAGGAUGCGAGCGUUAUCCGGAUUCAUUGGGUUUAAAGGGUGCGUAGGCGGUUUUUUAAGUCAGUGGUGAAAUCCUGCGGCUCAACCGUAGAACUGCCAUUGAUACUGAAGAACUUGAAUAUAGUUGAGGUAGGCGGAAUGAGUAGUGUAGCGGUGAAAUGCUUAGAUAUUACUCAGAACACCGAUUGCGAAGGCAGCUUACCAAGCUAUUAUUGACGCUGAGGCACGAAAGCGUGGGGAUCGAACAGGAUUAGAUACCCUGGUAGUCC
rnacentral:rRNA from 1 species